rnacentral:rRNA from 1 species
AUGCGGCUGAGAGGGACACUUGAGUCUCUCGACUUCUCGGCUUUGAGGACCUUGGUGGCCCUUGAGCUCUCGCACAACGAGCUUACCGGGAGCAUCCCUGUGAAUAUUAAGCUCCUCAAAGAACUCCGUGCUCUCCUCCUGCAUGACAAUCAGAUAAGAGAUUCAAUUCCACCUGUUUUAGCAAAUCUCACCAAACUGCAACUCCUAAUGCUCCAUGACAACCAAGUCUCCGGUGAAAUACCAAGGCAAAUAGGCGAGAUGGGUAAUCUUGUGAGGCUGAACUUGUCAAACAAUUACUUAGUUGGUCCUAUCCCUUGUGAAAUAGGUCACCUUAAGCAUUUGCUUAAAUUAGAUUUCUCCAGCAAUGACCUUUCCGGACCAGUUUCCUUCAGUCCAGCUAACUCAUCCAUACAAAAUCCUAUGAAUAAUUUUUCAUCUCAGCCUACUGCAAAAGUAAACUUAGAAAACAUAAAUAUGCUAUCAUUAUCCCGUAACAACUUAAGUGGUCCCAUUCCCAAAGAUAUAGUGAAAUUUUUCAACCUACAACACUUAGACAUAAGCCAAAACAACUUUUCAGGUUCAAUCCCAAGCAAUAUAGGUAACCUGACCAAACUCACUACCUUGUACCUUUACCAUAACCAACUUUCUGGACACAUUCCUCGAGAACUAGGUUAUUUAGUGAUCUUAGAAGACUUGAGGCUCAACAACAACACAUUAUCUGGUUCCAUUCCAAGCAAUUUAUGGAAUUUGACCAAACUUACUACCUUGCACCUUCACCGUAACCAACUUUCUAGACACAUUCCACUGGUUUUGGGAUAUUUGGUGCACAUAGAGGACUUGCGGCUUAGCUACAACACACUAACAGGUUACUUUCCAAGAAAUUUGUGUAAUUUGACCAAACUCAAGAUCUUGUACCUUGGCCAGAAUCAACUUUAUGGAAAAAUUCCUUGGGAACUAGGUUAUAUGGUGAAUUUAGAGGACUUUCAGCUCAGUUUGAACAACCUAACAGGUCCUAUCCCAAACAGUUUAGGCAAUUUGACUAAGCUCACCUUCUUAAACCUUAAUUUCAACCAAUUUUCUGGACACAUUCCUCAAGAAAUUGGUGAGUUAUUGAAUCUGGAAAUGUUUGGAGUCUCUUUGAACAAUCUAUCUGGUGCAUUGCCAUCGGGUCUUUGCGCGGGAGGCCGACUACAGUUUCUCACCGCUAAUGGCAACAACUUGGUUGGACCCUUGCCAACAAGCUUGCUAACUUGCAAAAGCCUAGUCACACUUCGUCUUGAAGGAAAUCAGCUUCAAGGAGAUAUCUCCAAGAUGGGGCUUCACCCUAAUCUUGUCUAUGUUGAUAUCAGUUCAAACAAACUAUUUGGUCAACUAUCUCAACGCUGGGGUGAGUGUUACAAACUUACGAUGCUACGUGCUUCAAACAACAACAUUACUGGAGUCAUACCACCAAGAAUAGGGCAGUUAUCUCAGUUGGGGAUACUUGAUGUUUCAGCAAAUAAACUUGAAGGGCAGAUUCCACUGGGGAUUGGCAAUUAA